CCUACGGUGGGCAGCAGUGAGGAAUAUUGGUCAAUGGGCGCGAGCCUGAACCAGCCAUGCCGCGUGAAGGAAGACUGCUCUACGGGUUGUAAACUUCUUUUAUACAGGAGUAAAGUGAGGUACGUGUGCCUUUUUGAAAGUACGUUACGAAUAAGGAUCGGCUAACUCCGUGCCAGCAGCCGCGGUAAUACGGAGGAUCCGAGCGUUAUCCGGAUUUAUUGGGGUUAAAGGGUGCGUAGGUGGGUUGAUAAGUUAGUGGUGAAAGUUUGCGGCUCAACCGUAGAAUUGCAACUGAUACUGGCGGCCUAGAGUACAGAUGCGGUAGGCGGAAUGCGUGGUGUAGCGGUGAAAUGCUUAGAUAUCACGCAGAACUCCGAUUGCGAAGGCAGCUUACUAAACUGCGACUGACAUUGAUGCACGAAAGUGUGGGGAUCAAACAGGAUUAGAUACCCCAGUAGUC
rnacentral:rRNA from 1 species